rnacentral:rRNA from 1 species
GACGAACGCUGGCGGCGUGCCUAAUACAUGCAAGUAGAACGCUGAAGAGAGGAGCUUGCUCUUCUUGGAUGAGUUGCGAACGGGUGAGUAACGCGUAGGUAACCUGCCUUGUAGCGGGGGAUAACUAUUGGAAACGAUAGCUAAUACCGCAUAACAAUGGAUGACACAUGUCAUUUAUUUGAAAGGGGCAAUUGCUCCACUACAAGAUGGACCUGCGUUGUAUUAGCUAGUAGGUGAGGUAAUGGCUCACCUAGGCGACGAUACAUAGCCGACCUGAGAGGGUGUCCGCCCCACCUGGAACUAGACCAGGCCCAAGAUCCCUCGGGGAGGCGCAGGAAGGAAUUUUCGGGAAAGGGGGAAAACCUGAACCGGCAACGCCGCGGUAGUGAAGAAGGUUUUUGGGUCGGAAAGCCCUGUUUGAAGGUAAGAACGGGUGUUAAAGUGGAAAGUUCACACUGUGACGGUAGCUUACCAGAAAGGGACGGCUAACUACGUG